rnacentral:rRNA from 1 species
GACGAACCGAGCGAACGUUAUUCGGAAUCACUGGGUUUAAAGGGCGCGUAGGCGGCUUGGCAAGUGGAUGGUGAAAUCCCUCGGCUUAACCGAGGAACUGCCAUCCAGACUGCUUUGCUUGAGGCCGGGAGAGGUGAGUGGAAUUCCCAGUGUAGCGGUGAAAUGCGUAGAUAUUGGGAGGAACACCAGUGGCGAAGGCGGCUCACUGGACCGGUUCUGACGCUGAGGCGCGAAAGCGUGGGGAGCAAACGGG